UGCGCCUUCUCUUUUCCCUCGCGGACUCUAUAUUGGUCCGGGAGGAUGUUUCUUGGGUGCAAGAUAAUCGAGUUGAACGCGGUGCGGGGCUGGGUUGCACGUCCCGGCUACCGCUGAGGUUCUCCGCAACAGUC
rnacentral:snoRNA from 1 species